GACGAACGCUGGCGGCGUGCUUAACACAUGCAAGUCGAACGGAAAGGCCCUGCUUUUGUGGGGUGCUCGAGUGGCGAACGGGUGAGUAACACGUGAGUAACCUGCCCUUGACUUUGGGAUAACUUCAGGAAACUGGGGCUAAUACCGGAUAGGAGCUCCUGCUGCAUGGUGGGGGUUGGAAAGUUUCGGCGGUUGGGGAUGGACUCGCGGCUUAUCAGCUUGUUGGUGGGGUAGUGGCUUACCAAGGCUUUGACGGGUAGCCGGCCUGAGAGGGUGACCGGCCACAAUGGGCCUAAGAUACGGCCCAGACUCCUACGGGAGGCAACAGUGGGGAAUAUUGCACAAUGGGCGGACGCCUGAUGCAGAAACGCCGCGUGCGGGAUGACGGCCUUCGGGUUGUAAACCGCUUUCGCCUGUGACGAAGAGUGAGUGACGGUAAUGAGUAAAGAAGCACCGGCUAACUACGUG
rnacentral:rRNA from 1 species